rnacentral:tRNA from 1 species
AGGAAAUGGCAGAUUGGUAUGUGAUUAACUUGAAAUUAUUAGAGGGGGGUUCAAUUCCUUCUUUCCUUGGUA